CCUCCGCUCUCCCCGCACAGGAGAGCGGACCGAGGCACCCGGCGCUCUCUGCCCUGACCGCGCCGGCGCCUCAUGUGGCCGACGGCACCGCACACCGUCGGUCGGAAGGGCCUGCCUUUUGGAAC
rnacentral:ncRNA from 1 species